GCUUCAAUAGUGAUUGGGAAAUGGUGGUGUGAGAUGGAGCCCUGCCUAGAAGGAGAGGAAUGUAAGACGUUGCCUGAUAAUUCUGGAUGGAUGUGUGCAACUGGCAAUAAAAUCAAGACCACCAGAAUCCACCCGAGGACUUAACAGAGCACCGUCUGCAUGGAGAGAGUGAAAGCCCUGCUGAUUUAUGAGGACAAAGUAUUGAAAGUUUAAAACCAUCUCAGCAUUUACAGGCCAAAUGGAUUUCUUAUUUGCACUUUGACUGUUUACCAGAAAACAACAGUGGCUUUACUGUGUGAAAGAAAGUAUUCAGUGGAAAUAAUGCCCCUGAUUUUUGACAGCUGAAAAUAAAAAUGAAGAAAAUGGUUCCUUUGGUAAAGUUUCCGAGAUUGCGAAGUACAAACAACAGUAUAAGUUUGGAUCUACAAUUUACUUUAUACCAGUUAAAGUAUAUAUAUAUAGAAAUAUAUAUAUAUUAAUAUAUGAUAUUUUGAAAUAAAAGCCUCACUCUUCAAGAAAUUGAAAAGUACCACACUUUGCUGCAGCUGCUGUAAAUUUUCUUUUUAUUUUUUGUAAUGAUCUGGAAGAACCUUACCUGUUUCAGAGAGAAACGUGGCAGUGAAGAGGCAAAGCAAACCUGCUGCGGUACAAGGACGCCUAAGAGCUACACAAAUCCUACCGAUGUGGCAUCCAGAGCUUCCUGUUCAGCAGAAUUUCGAGGGCAUUCGUUGUUCCACUUUGUGUUCUGGAGGCUUUUCCCCUUGUGCAAUACUAGCAUGCUGGCUUUGCUUCAUUAACCAUACUUGAUUGAUAUAUAACAAUUAUAAUUCUAUCCUCUUCCAAGAAAAUAUUUUUAGAGCUGUUAGAUACUCCAUGAAGAAGAGAUGGACAACUACUGAGUGAAGUACAGUAUGUAUUAAAAGUUUAUUUGGCAGCGUUUGGUAGACUGUGAACUCCCUUCUUAUUAAAGAUGUACUGUACAUACAA